rnacentral:rRNA from 1 species
AACAGGGAUUGCCUCAGUAACGGCGAGUGAAGCGGCAACAGCUCAAAUUUGAAAUCUGGCCCCCCGGGUCCGAGUUGUAAUUUGCAGAGGAUGCUUUGGGCGAGGCGCCGUUCCGAGUUCCUUGGAACGGGACGCCGUAGAGGGUGAGAGCCCCGUACGGUCGGACGCCGAGCCUCUGUAAAGCUCCUUCGACGAGUCGAGUAGUUUGGGAAUGCUGCUCUAAAUGGGAGGUAAAUCUCUUCUAAAGCUAAAUACAGGCCACAGACCGAUAGCGCACAAGUAGAGUGAUCGAAAGAUGAAAAGUACUUUGAAAAGAGAGUUAAACAGCACGUGAAAUUGUUGAAAGGGAAGCGCUUGUGACCAGACGUGUGCCGGGUAGAUCAGCUGGCGUUCGCGCCAGUGCACUCUGCCCGGCACAGGCCAGCAUCGGUUCGCCGCUGGGGAGAAAGACGGUGGGAAUGUGGCUCUUCGGAGUGUUAUAGCCCGCCGUGUAAUACCCUCCGGCGGACCGAGGUUCGCGCAUCCGCAAGGAUGCYGGCGUAAUGGUCACCAGCGACCCGUCUUGAAACACGGACCAAGGAGUCGUCCUAGUAUGCGAGUGUUUGGGUGCCAAACCCCUACGCGAAAUGAAAGUGAACGGAGGUGAGAGCUUUUAGCGCAUCAUCGACCGAUCCUGAUGUCUUCGGAUGGAUUUGAGUACGAGCAUACUGGGCCGGACCCGAAAGAAGGUGAACUAUGCCUGUAUAGGGUGAAGCCAGAGGAAACUCUGGUGGAGGCUCGCAGCGGUUCUGACGUGCAAAUCGAUCGUCAAAUAUGGGCAUGGGGGCGAAAGUAAGUAGAGAGAAUACCCAGUUCCG